ensembl:lncRNA
CAGGCACCAUAAAACUGGCUUUUAAUUAAAUCAGCCUCGGAACAGAGGGAGUUCUGCAAGGUCCCUCCCUUGCUUACAUAAGGCAGCCGGCCUGAGCGGUGGCCGCGGGGAUGCUCCGGUGCUCCGAGCCCAGGAAACCUUCUGCAGGAUUUUUCAGAGAGGAAAAACGAGAAAUGGGAAAUGGGGCAAGUGGGGAGCCCACGGCCAGCCCCAGAUCUCACACAGCUUUGGGCCAAGGAGUGAUCACCGCCACAGGAGCUUCAAGGAUGGUUUGUGUGGGGGCCAUGAAGGUCCAUCACAGGAACACCAACACCCAGCUCAUCGUGCCAGACCUGGAGAUGGAAAACUGGAAAAGUUCCAAACACAGGGAGGACAUGAAGUUCCAUGGACCAUGAGAAUGCAUGUGUCUCUAGGAGAGCACCCAGGAGAUGAUGGACAUCUCUUAAUGCCUGCUUGGAUAAAACAAAAAAAAGCUUUUCAUCCCAGUGCUGAGCCAGAGAGAACUCUGAGAAGCUGGGUGGCAGUGGGAGGGCAUCGGCACUGGAGCCAAACCUGGAGCAGCCACAAUAGCAGCCAGCCAAGUCUGGGUGGGAAGCAUCACCUUCAGAGACCAAACCCACUGCUGUCCCCCAAAUAGCUUGAAGAUCCAAGGGGAAGGGCACAGUGGGAAUCCCUGCCCAAGCUGGUUUUUCCCCAUGUGGUUUUGGGGGAAAAUUGGAGUUAAGGCUCCGACCCACCUCCUCAGGCACAAAACCACCUCCAUACCUGCGUGGGCUGCUCAAACUGUGAUGCUGGAAAAGCCAACGGAGAAAAUCUUAACCACGCCAACCUCUUUCCAUGCCCUUGUCCCUUCUCCAGGGGAACAAUCACUGCUGAGGAUCUUUGCCAAAAUUAGUUCCUUUAAGAUCUGAGGGAUCUUUCUGCUACUGCACCGAGCAGUGGGAGUGAGCCCAUAAAUCCAGUUAGUCACAGUCGCUGGAUUACAUCGGACCUUGUCCUUCUGCCUUUAAUAACACGAUUGUUUGCUGCAUAAGGAGCUUUAUGUAACUGGGAAUCAGGGGUGAUCCGCAGGACUGCCCAGGCUGGAGCUGUCAACCCUCCCUUCUCUCUGUGUUUGUGUGAACCUCCUGCUGCCAGCCUAUAUCUGAGAAAUAAAUAACCUCCUUGCUGUGGCA